rnacentral:rRNA from 1 species
CUAUAGCGUAUAUUAAAGUUGUUGCAGUUAAAAAGCUCGUAGUUGGAUUUCUGGUGGGAGCGAUCGGUCUGGCGCUUAGCGCGAGUACUUGCAUCGUCUCCGGCCAUCCUUGGGGAGAGUCUGUCUGGCAUUAAGUUGUCGGGCAGAGGAUCCUCAUCGUUUACUGUGAAAAAAUUAGAGUGUUCAAAGCAGGCUUAUGCCGUUGAAUAUAUUAGCAUGGAAUAAUAAGAUAGGACUUUGGUACUAUUUUGUUGGUUUGCGCACCAAAGUAAUGAUUAAUAGGGACAGUUGGGGGUAUUCGUAUUCCGUUGUCAGAGGUGAAAUUCUUGGAUUUACGGAAGACGAACUACUGCGAAAGCAUUUACCAAGGAUGUUUUCAUUAA